GGCAGGCCUAACACAUGCAAGUCGAGCGGCAGCGGAAGUAGCUUGCUACUUUGCCGGCGAGCGGCGGACGGGUGAGUAAUGUCUGGGAAACUGCCUGAUGGAGGGGGAUAACUACUGGAAACGGUAGCUAAUACCGCAUAACGUCGCAAGACCAAAGAGGGGGACCUUCGGGCCUCUUGCCAUCAGAUGUGCCCAGAUGGGAUUAGCUAGUAGGUGGGGUAACGGCUCACCUAGGCGACGAUCCCUAGCUGGUCUGAGAGGAUGACCAGCCACACUGGAACUGAGACACGGUCCAGACUCCUACGGGAGGCAGCAGUGGGGAAUAUUGCACAAUGGGCGCAAGCCUGAUGCAGCCAUGCCGCGUGUAUGAAGAAGGCCUUCGGGUUGUAAAGUACUUUCAGCGGGGAGGAAGGCGAUAAGGUUAAUAACCUUGUCGAUUGACGUUACCCGCAGAAGAAGCACCGGCUAACUCCGUGCCAGCAGCCGCGGUAAUACGGAGGGUGCAAGCGUUAAUCGGAAUUACUGGGCGUAAAGCGCACGCAGGCGGUCUGUCAAGUCGGAUGUGAAAUCCCCGGGCUCAACCUGGGAACUGCAUUCGAAACUGGCAGGCUAGAGUCUUGUAGAGGGGGGUAGAAUUCCAGGUGUAGCGGUGAAAUGCGUAGAGAUCUGGAGGAAUACCGGUGGCGAAGGCGGCC
rnacentral:rRNA from 1 species